CUACGGGGUGCUCCAGUGGGGAAUAUUGCACAAUGGGGGAAACCCUGAUGCAGCAACGCCGCGUGGAGGAUGACGCAUUUCGGUGUGUAAACUCCUUUUAUAUAGGAAGAUAAUGACGGUACUAUAUGAAUAAGCACCGGCUAACUCCGUGCCAGCAGCCGCGGUAAUACGGAGGGUGCAAGCGUUACUCGGAAUCACUGGGCGUAAAGCGCGCGCAGGCGGCUCUUUAAGUUGGAUGUGAAAGCCUACGGCUCAACCGUAGAACUGCAUCCAAAACUGAAGAGCUAGAGUCUGGGAGGGGAAGAUGGAAUUAGUUGUGUAGGGGUAAAAUCCGUAGAGAUAACUAGGAAUACCAAAAGCGAAGGCGAUCUUCUGGAACAGUACUGACGCUGAGGCGCGAAAGCGUGGGGAGCAAACAGGAUUAGAUACCCCGGUAGUC
rnacentral:rRNA from 1 species